rnacentral:rRNA from 1 species
UAGGGAAUAUUGGUAAUCUGGGAAACCGGGAACCAGCAACGCCGCGUGCGCGAUGAAGGCCUUCGGGUUGUAAAGCGCUUUUUGAAGGGAUGAGGAAGGACAGUACCUUCAGAAUAAGCCUCGGCUAACUACGUGCCAGCAGCCGCGGUAAAACGUAGGAGGCGAGCGUUAUCCGGAUUUACUGGGCGUAAAGCGUGUGUAGGCGGUUUGAUAAGUUGGAUGUGAAAGCUCCCGGCUCAACUGGGAGAGGUCGUUCAAAACUAUCAGACUAGAGAGUGGUAGAGGGAGGUGGAAUUCCGCGUGUAGUGGUGAAAUGCGUAGAUAUGCGGAGGAACACCAGUGGCGAAAGCGGCCUCCUGGCCCAUUUCUGACGCUCAGACACGAAAGCUAAGGUAGCAAACGG